GGUUAAGCGACUAAGCGUACACGGUGGAUGCCCUGGCAGUCAGAGGCGAUGAAGGACGUGCUAAUCUGCGAAAAGCGUCGGUAAGGUGAUAUGAACCGUUAUAACCGGCGAUGUCCGAAUGGGGAAACCCAGUGCAAUUCGUUGCACUAUCGUUAACUGAAUACAUAGGUUAACGAGGCGAACCGGGGGAACUGAAACAUCUAAGUACCCCGAGGAAAAGAAAUCAACCGAGAUUCCCCCAGUAGCGGCGAGCGAACGGGGAGCAGCCCAGAGUCUGAAUCAGCUUGUGUGUUAGUGGAACGGUCUGGAAAGUCCGACGGUACAGGGUGAUAGUCCCGUACACCAAAAUGCACAGGCUGUGAACUCGAAGAGUAGGGCGGGACACGUGGUAUCCUGUCUGAAUAUGGGGGGACCAUCCUCCAAGGCUAAAUACUCCUGACUGACCGAUAGUGAACCAGUACCGUGAGGGAAAGGCGAAAAGAACCCCGGCGAGGGGAGUGAAAAAGAACCUGAAACCGUGUACGUACAAGCAGUGGGAGCACCUUCGGGUGUGACUGCGUACCUUUUGUAUAAUGGGUCAGCGACUUAUAUUCUGUAGCAAGGUUAACCGUAUAGGGGAGCCGCAGGGAAACCGAGUCUUAACUGGGCGUUAAGUUGCAGGGUAUAGACCCGAAACCCGGUGAUCUAGCCAUGGGCAGGUUGAAGGUUGGGUAACACUAACUGGAGGACCGAACCGACUAAUGUUGAAAAAUUAGCGGAUGACUUGUGGCUGGGGGUGAAAGGCCAAUCAAACCGGGAGAUAGCUGGUUCUCCCCGAAAGCUAUUUAGGUAGCGCCUCGUGAAUUCAUCUUCGGGGGUAGAGCACUGUUUCGGCUAGGGGGUCAUCCCGACUUACCAACCCGAUGCAAACUACGAAUACCGAAGAAUGUUAUCACGGGAGACACACGGCGGGUGCUAACGUCCGUCGUGAAGAGGGAAACAACCCAGACCGCCAGCUAAGGUCCCAAAGUCAUGGUUAAGUGGGAAACGAUGUGGGAAGGCACAGACAGCCAGGAUGUUGGCUUAGAAGCAGCCAUCAUUUAAAGAAAGCGUAAUAGCUCACUGGUCGAGUCGGCCUGCGCGGAAGAUGUAACGGGGCUAAACCAUGCACCGAAGCUGCGGCAGCGACACUAUGUGUUGUUGGGUAGGGGAGCGUUCUGUAAGCCUGCGAAGGUGUGCUGUGAGGCAUGCUGGAGGUAUCAGAAGUGCGAAUGCUGACAUAAGUAACGAUAAAGCGGGUGAAAAGCCCGCUCGCCGGAAGACCAAGGGUUCCUGUCCAACGUUAAUCGGGGCAGGGUGAGUCGACCCCUAAGGCGAGGCCGAAAGGCGUAGUCGAUGGGAAACAGGUUAAUAUUCCUGUACUUGGUGUUACUGCGAAGGGGGGACGGAGAAGGCUAUGUUAGCCGGGCGACGGUUGUCCCGGUUUAAGCAUGUAGGCUGGUUGUCCAGGCAAAUCCGGAUAAUCAAGGCUGAGGUGUGAUGACGAGGCACUACGGUGCUGAAGUAACAAAUGCCCUGCUUCCAGGAAAAGCCUCUAAGCAUCAGGUAACAUCAAAUCGUACCCCAAACCGACACAGGUGGUCAGGUAGAGAAUACCAAGGCGCUUGAGAGAACUCGGGUGAAGGAACUAGGCAAAAUGGUGCCGUAACUUCGGGAGAAGGCACGCUGGUGUGUAGGUGAAGUCCCUGCGGAUGGAGCUGAGACCAGUCGAAGAUACCAGCUGGCUGCAACUGUUUAUUAAAAACACAGCACUGUGCAAACACGAAAGUGGACGUAUACGGUGUGACGCCUGCCCGGUGCCGGAAGGUUAAUUGAUGGGGUUAUCCGUAAGGAGAAGCUCUUGAUCGAAGCCCCGGUAAACGGCGGCCGUAACUAUAACGGUCCUAAGGUAGCGAAAUUCCUUGUCGGGUAAGUUCCGACCUGCACGAAUGGCGUAAUGAUGGCCAGGCUGUCUCCACCCGAGACUCAGUGAAAUUGAACUCGCUGUGAAGAUGCAGUGUACCCGCGGCAAGACGGAAAGACCCCGUGAACCUUUACUAUAGCUUGACACUGAACAUUGAGCCUUGAUGUGUAGGAUAGGUGGGAGGCUUUGAAGCGUGGACGCCAGUCUGCGUGGAGCCAACCUUGAAAUACCACCCUUUAAUGUUUGAUGUUCUAACGUUGGCCCCUUACCGGGGUUGCGGACAGUGUCUGGUGGGUAGUUUGACUGGGGCGGUCUCCUCCCAAAGCGUAACGGAGGAGCACGAAGGUUAGCUAAUCCUGGUCGGACAUCAGGAGGUUAGUGCAAUGGCAUAAGCUAGCUUGACUGCGAGCGUGACGGCGCGAGCAGGUGCGAAAGCAGGUCAUAGUGAUCCGGUGGUUCUGAAUGGAAGGGCCAUCGCUCAACGGAUAAAAGGUACUCCGGGGAUAACAGGCUGAUACCGCCCAAGAGUUCAUAUCGACGGCGGUGUUUGGCACCUCGAUGUCGGCUCAUCACAUCCUGGGGCUGAAGUAGGUCCCAAGGGUAUGGCUGUUCGCCAUUUAAAGUGGUACGCGAGCUGGGUUUAGAACGUCGUGAGACAGUUCGGUCCCUAUCUGCCGUGGGCGCUGGAGAAUUGAGGGGGGCUGCUCCUAGUACGAGAGGACCGGAGUGGACGCAUCACUGGUGUUCGGGUUGUCAUGCCAAUGGCACUGCCCGGUAGCUAAAUGCGGAAGAGAUAAGUGCUGAAAGCAUCUAAGCACGAAACUUGCCCCGAGAUGAGUUCUCCCUGAGACUUUAAGUCUCCUGAAGGAACGUUAAAGACGAUGACGUUGAUAGGCCG
rnacentral:rRNA from 1 species